rnacentral:rRNA from 1 species
GUGAAUUAGCGGCGAACGGGUGAGGAACACGUGAGGAAUCUGCCUUCAACACUGGGAUAACUCCGGGAAACCGGGGCUAAUACCGGAUACGAGCUCUGAUCGCAUGAUCGGGGCUGGAAAGUUUUUCGGUUGAAGAUGACCUCGCGGCCUAUCAGCUUGUUGGUGAGGUAAUGGCUCACCAAGGCGACGACGGGUAGCCGGCCUGAGAGGGCGACCGGCCACACUGGGACUGAGACACGGCCCAGACUCC